GUGAGUAGUUCUAGAGUUUGAUCCUGGCUCAGGACGAACGCUGGCGGCGUGCCUAACACAUGCAAGUCGAGCGGAGCCAUCCAAAGAUCCCUUCGGGGUGAAUUUGGGGAAGCUUAGCGGCGGACGGGUGAGUAACGCGUGAGUAACCUGCCUGUAAGAGGGGGAUAACACAGAGAAAUUUGUGCUAAUGCCGCAUAUUGAGUGAAAUUCGCAUGUUUUUCACUUGAAAGAUUUAUCGCUUACAGAUGGACUCGCGUCUGAUUAGCUAGUUGGUGAGGUAACGGCUCACCAAGGCGACGAUCAGUAGCCGAACUGAGAGGUUGAUCGGCCACAUUGGGACUGAGACACGGCCCAG
rnacentral:rRNA from 1 species